GUGAAUCAUCGAAUCUUUGAACGCAAAUUGCGCUCUCUGGUAUUCCGGAGGGUAUGCCUGUUUGAGGGUCAUUUUUAAUAAAAAGCUGUGUGGGUGCUGCGUUGCCUGGUGACGCACUUGAUUGGGGUCGUCUUGCCUUCGGUUAAGUGACCGGAAAUUUUGCAUGGUUUUUUUCGAACGUAUUUAAAUGAUUUUACGUACGUUUGCGAUAUCAAAUACUAGUUGUGUUCAUCCUCAUGAUUGGCGCCUAUAAUUUUUCAUCAAAAUGACAUCAAA
rnacentral:misc_RNA from 1 species